rnacentral:rRNA from 1 species
UACGUAGGGGGCAAGCGUUGUCCGGAUUUAUUGGGCGUAAAGAGCGUGUAGGCGGUUUGGUAGGUCCGCUGUGAAAACUCGAGGCUCAACCUCGAGACGCCGGUGGAAACCAUCAGACUAGAGUCCGGAAGAGGAGAGUGGAAUUCCUGGUGUAGCGGUGAAAUGCGCAGAUAUCAGGAGGAACACCGAUGGCGAAGGCAGGUCUCUGGGCAUUAACUGACGCUGAGGAGCGAAAGCAUGGGGAGCGAACAGG